rnacentral:rRNA from 1 species
UACGGGGGGGGCAAGCGUUGUUCGGAAUUACUGGGCGUAAAGGGCUUGUAGGUGGCCAACUAAGUCAGACGUGAAAUCCCUCGGCUUAACCGGGGAACUGCGUCUGAUACUGGAUGGCUUGAGUGUGGGAGAGGGAUGCGGAAUUCCAGGUGUAGCGGUGAAAUGCGUAGAUAUCUGGAGGAACACCGGUGGCGAAGGCGGCAUCCUGGACCAUUACUGACACUGAAAAGCGAAAGCCAGGGGAGCAAACGGGG